CAAAGUGUAGCUUAACAUAAAGCGUCUGGCCUACACCCAGAAGAUUUCAUACACAUUGACCACUUUGA
rnacentral:tRNA from 1 species